GCUGGGGCUAUAGCUCAGUGGUAGAGUGCUUGCCUUGCAUGUGUGAGGCACUGGAUUCGAUCCUCAGCA
rnacentral:tRNA from 1 species